GACGAACGCUGGCGGCGUGCUUAACACAUGCAAGUCGAACGGAAAGGCCCUGCUUUUGUGGGGUGCUCGAGUGGCGAACGGGUGAGUAACACGUGAGUAACCUGCCCUUGACUUUGGGAUACUUCAGGAAACUGGGGCUAAUACCGGAUAGGAGCUCCUGCUGCAUGGUGGGGGUUGGAAAGUUUCGGCGGUUGGGGAUGGACUCGCGGCUUAUCAGCUUGUUGGUGGGGUAGUGGCUUACCAAGGCUUUGACGGGUAGCCGGCCUGAGAGGGUGACCGGCCACAUUGGGACUGAGAUACGGCCCAGACUCCUACGGGAGGCAGCAGUGGGGAAUAUUGCACAAUGGGCGGAAGCCUGAUGCAGCAACGCCGCGUGCGGGAUGACGGCCUUCGGGUUGUAAACCGCUUUCGCCUGUGACGAAGCGUGAGUGACGGUAGUGGGUAAAGAAGCACCGGCUAACUACGUG
rnacentral:rRNA from 1 species